rnacentral:rRNA from 1 species
CCUACGGGAGGCUGCAGUCGAGAAUCGUUCGCAAUGCACGACAGUGCGACGAUGCGACGCUGCGUGCAGGAUGAAGGCCUUCGGGUUGUAAACUGCUGUCAUGAGGAACAAUGUCACGGGUGCCAAUACCACUCGUCCGUGAUGGUACCUUGAGAGGGAGCCACGGCUAACUCUGUGCCAGCAGCCGCGGUAAUACAGAGGUAGCGAGCGUUGUUCGGAUUUACUGGGCGUAAAGGGUGCGUAGCGGCUUCGUGUGUCGGAUGUGAAAGCCCAUGGCUCAACCGUGGAAAUGCAUCCGGAACUGCGGGGCUAGAGUACUGGAGCGGUGAGCGGAAUACUUGGUGUAGCGGUGCAAUGCGUAGAUAUCAAGAGGAACGCCGGUGGCGAAGGCGGCUCACUGGACAGAUACUGACGCUGAGGCACGAAAGCUGAGGGAGCGAACAGGAUUAGAUACCCUGGUAGUCCCAGCCGUAAACGUUGUGCACUUGGUGUGAGGGGAAUUAUCCAGCUCCGCGCCGUAGCUAAC